rnacentral:rRNA from 1 species
GUACGCUGGCGGCACGCCUAACACAUGCGAAGUCNAACGAAGUAGCAAUACUUAGUGGCAGACGGGUGAGUAACAUGUAGGUAUCUGCCCUUUGGCCUGGAAUAACACGAGGAAACUUGUGCUAAUACCGGAUAAGUCUUUACGGAGAAAGCUUUAUGCACCAUUGGAUGAGCCUGCACUUGAUUAGUUUGUUGGUGGGGUAAUGGCCUACCAAGACUGUGAUCAAUAGCUGAUUUGAGAGGAUGAUCAGCCACAUUGGGACUGAGACACGGCCCAAACUCCUACGGGAGGCAGCAGUGGGGAAUCUUGCACAAUGGAGGAAACUCUGAUGCAGCGAUGCCGCGUGAGUGAAGAAGGCCCUUGGGUUGUAAAGCUCUUUCGUCGGGGAAGAAAAUGACUGUACCCGAAUAAGAAGGUCCGGCUAACUUCGUGCCAGCAGCCGCGGUAAUACGAAGGGACCUAGCGUAGUUCGGAAUUACUGGGCUUAAAGAGUUCGUAGGUGGUUGAAAAAGUUAGUGGUGAAAUCCCAGAGCUUAACUCUGGAACUGCCAUUAAAACUUUUCAGCUAGAGUAUGAUAGAGGAAAGCAGAAUUUCUAGUGUAGAGGUGAAAUUCGUAGAUAUUAGAAAGAAUACCAAUUGCGAAGGCAGCUUUCUGGAUCAUUACUGACACUGAGGAACGAAAGCAUGGGUAGCGAAGAGGAUUAGAUACCCUCGUAGUCCAUGCCGUAAACGAUGUGUGUUAGACGUUGGAAAUUUAUUUUCAGUGUCGCAGGGAAACCGAUAAACACACCGCCUGGGGGAGUACGACCGCCAAGGUUAAAACUCAAAUGAAUUG